GGCUGGUCCCAGUGGAGUGGUGUUUACAACUAUAAAUGAUCACAAUCAGUUACAGAUUCCUUUGUUCCUUCUCCAUUCCUACUGUUUCAUUUGACCAGCUUUAA
rnacentral:Y_RNA from 1 species